GAGUCACGACCGGAUGUUUCCGUUUCCGUUUCAAACCGAUCAUAACGACCGGAGCUGAAAUCUACCGGUGGUACCGGCCUGAGAGUCGGUGUCCGGGGGGGCUGGAGGGCGUCGGUGCUCCUUCAGCAACUAGACGGAGCGGCGGCUAACGUCGCCGCGGCGCUAGCUCCUCAUUCCAGCGGCACAAACAGGAGCUCCGCUCCCGCCGCUUCACGCAAAAACCGUCAGCCGCGAGCGAAGGCCCACUGCGGGGCACUGCGGGCUCCUGCGGGGACGGGGCACCGACCUUAGCCUUGGUUCCAGGCCGAUUCCUCCUAAGAACUGCAGCGCCCUCCGCCAUGACCAUCUCGACAGAAUAACCGGAAAUACGUCAGCGGCGACGUUGCGUGCAAGAACCGGAAACGAGCAGGGGCUCUGGAGCUCAUCCAGGAUUCCAGAUCACAGAGCAGACGGUGAGGAGCUCCUUCAUGACCCGAAGAACAUGUCAGACAUGAAACAGCUGCACUUCUGAAAGGGUUUUACUUCUUUAAUGUCAAAAAUGGGAAUGGGAUUAUUUACAAUUCAACAUAAAAAAGGAAACAGACAUGGAUGAAGAUCAUUUCUCCUCUCAAAGACCAUCAAGUCUCAAUCCACGUAUUUUCCCAGGAUGUCUGCGUCACGGAACAGGAAGUAGUCCUGAAGAGAGAGCGCAGAUUAAAGCAGGUGGACGGUCAGGGGCUGAUGUUCUGAUCCAAAACAAAGCUCACCUUGUCUUCCAGAACCACUUUAGUUCCCCCAUAUUCUGGAAGCAGCACCUUCUCUCCCACCUUCACGCUCACCGGCUGAACGUCACCUUUCUGGAAGAACAAACAGAGGAAGCAGGGUUACAGUCCCGUGGAACCGGAUCAGGUCCUGGACUCAGUGACCCUUUUCCCUGGCAUUCCAAACAGGAAGUACCUGCUGGUUCCAAGAAGCCAAAAUUCCAUAGUCAGAACAUUCAUUGUUGACCUGAUACAUCUUAACAUCUUCUUGAUAAUCCUCUUUUUUUCUUAAUAUUUUUCUGCAGUUCAAGUUAUUUAAGUUAUAAACUGACCAAUCAGAGACCUCAAUAAAAGCAUGUGGUGCUCGCUG